ensembl:lncRNA
NNNNNNNGUGUGUCUGCAUAUGCAGAUGAUCUUGCAGUUUGCAUACAUUCACAGGAGGACAUGAAUGUUUUAACCAGGCUUUUAAAUUAUUUUAAUGUCUUAUCAUCAGCAAAAAUAAGAUGGCACAAGAGUGAGGCGAUUUUGGUUGGGGAGUGGGAGGGUGCAGUACCCACACUUCCAGAGGGCCUGAAGUGGAAAAAGGGCGGGUUUAAGUACCUGGGGGUGUAUCUAGGAGAUGACAACUAAAUGAUGAAGAACUGGGAGGGCAUUUUAGAGGAAGUGAAAGGAAGAUUGUUGAAAUGGAAAUGGUUAGUUCCUAAAAUGUCCUAUAGGGGUCGUGCUUUGGUCAUUAAUAAUCUAGCUGCAUCUUCCCUAUGGCAUAAGCUGGCCUGUAUAGACCCCCCCACUAAUCUACUUGCUAGUGUCCAGUCAGUCUUAGUGGACUUCUUUUGGGAUCGUCUUCACUGGGUUCCGCAGGGGGUUCUUUACUUACCCAAGGAGGAGGGUGGGCAAGGACUGAUACAUUUGGCUAGUAGAACUGCUGCCUUCCGACUUCAGUUUGUUCAGAGAUUCCUUACUGGUUCCAGUGACCUAGUAUGGAUUAAAGUUGUGAGCCAAAUAUUGCAAACUGUUGGUCAUUUAGGACUGGAUAAAACAUUGUUUUUAUUGGAUUUUAAGAAAUUGGAUCUUUCUGUGUUACCAGCAUUUUAUAGAGGCCUUUUUAAAAUUUGGAGUCUUUUUACGGUGUGUAGACAGAGCAGUAUGUCCCUUUAUUGGUUACUAGAAGAACCUUUAAUCUAUGGUGCUCGCCUGGAUAUUUUUGGCCAACGCUCUCAUACCUUGGCCAGGGCGCUGGUUUCUUCUAGAAUCGUGAGACUCGGUCAGCUUGUUGGUCUUGUUGGGUCUGAUUUUACUGGUGCUGAACGCCUGGCGGAGCUACUGGGGAUGCGGUCACUGCGGGUGAUGCUCCAACUCCUGCAGAGCUGGAGAUCAGUGCUUUCAACUGAAGAGCUGACUCUCCUGAAAGAUCAUGCUGCAGGAGUUGUUGAGCCUGAGCCGGGUGAUCCGUUCCCUAAGUGUUCCAUCACCCCAAACCUGCAAGACAGUGCAGGUGUGCUGUUGGAGGGUGUGGGGGAGGCUGACAUGGACUUGGGGACUGUCAGUGGUAAGAUGUUGUACAGAGGCUGUGUGAGAGUGCUGAACAGGAAGAGGUUGGAGGGGAGGGUGGACACUCCAUGGCGUAGGGAGUUUGGGCUAGCUGCAGAUAAAAGACCAGAGUGGACGGUCUUGUACAAGCCGCCGUUAACCAGGAAGAUUGCAGAUCUUCAGUGGCGAAUCCUUCAUGGCAUUGUCUCUGUAAACUCUUUUAUUUCUGUUUUAAACCCUGAGGUUUCACACACAUGUCCUUUCUGUCCACAAAGGGAGACGGUGUUCCAUGCUUUUAUACACUGUUUUAGACUCCAACCUUUUUUUGUGCUUUUACAGACUGUUCUUAUAAAUUUUAAUGAAAAUUUUACACCCCAGAGUUUUAUACUUGGUUUUAAAUAUGCCAGGAGCCAAAGGUACAAGUGCCAACUGAUCAAUUUUAUCCUUGGACAAGCGUAGAUGGCUAUUUACAUGAGCAGGAAGAACAAAAUUGAGCAAAAUGUAGACUGUGAUGCUGUGCCAAUCUUCCUGAGGAUGGUUAAGGCUAGGAUAAAAAUUGAUUUUAACUAUUAUAAAGGCAUGAAUGACCUGGAU